rnacentral:rRNA from 1 species
UGAAGCCCAGCUUGCUGGGUGGAUUAGUGGCGAACGGGUGAGUAACACGUGAGCAACCUGCCCCUGACUCUGGGAUAACAGCCGGAAACGGUUGCUAAUACCGGAUAUGCAUCAUGGCCGCAUGGUCUGUGGUGGGAAAGAUUUUUCGGUUGGGGAUGGGCUCGCGGCCUAUCAGCUUGUUGGUGAGGUAGUGGCUCACCAAGGCGUCGACGGGUAGCCGGCCUGAGAGGGUGACCGGCCACACUGGGACUGAGACACGGCCCAGACUCCUACGGGAGGCAGCAGUGGGGAAUAUUGCACAAUGGGCGGAAGCCUGAUGCAGCAACGCCGCGUGAGGGAUGACGGCCUUCGGGUUGUAAACCUCUUUUAGCAGGGAAGAAGCGAAAGUGACGGUACCUGCAGAAAAAGCGCCGGCUAACUACGUGCCAGCAGCCGCGGUAAUACGUAGGGCGCAAGCGUUAUCCGGAAUUAUUGGGCGUAAAGAGCUCGUAGGCGGUUUGUCGCGUCUGCUGUGAAAACCCGAGGCUCAACCUCGGGCCUGCAGUGGGUACGGGCAGACUAGAGUGCGGUAGGGGAGAUUGGAAUUCCUGGUGUAGCGGUGGAAUGCGCAGAUAUCAGGAGGAACACCGAUGGCGAAGGCAGAUCUCUGGGCCGUUACUGACGCUGAGGAGCGAAAGGGUGGGGAGCAAACAGGCUUAGAUACCCUGGUAGUCCACCCCGUAAACGUUGGGAACUAGUUGUGGGGGCCUUUCCACGGUCUCCGUGACGCAGCUAACGCAUUAAGUUCCCCGCCUGGGGAGUACGGCCGCAAGGC